AGCAAUAUCUAUGGUGGCGACCGGCGCACGGGUGCGUAACGCGUAUGCAACCUACCUUUAACAGGGGGAUAACACUGAGAAAUUGGUACUAAUACCCCAUAAUAUCAUAGAAGGCAUCUUUUAUGGUUGAAAAUUCCGAUGGUUAGAGAUGGGCAUGCGUUGUAUUAGCUAGUUGGUGGGGUAACGGCUCACCAAGGCGACGAUACAUAGGGGGACUGAGAGGUUAACCCCCCACACUGGUACUGAGACACGGACCAGACUCCUACGGGAGGCAGCAGUGAGGAAUAUUGGUCAAUGGACGCAAGUCUGAACCAGCCAUGCCGCGUGCAGGAUGACGGCUCUAUGAGUUGUAAACUGCUUUUGUACGAGGGUAAACGCAGAUACGUGUAUCUGUCUGAAAGUAUCGUACGAAUAAGGAUCGGCUAACUCCGUGCCAGCAGCCGCGGUAAUACGGAGGAUUCAAGCGUUAUCCGGAUUUAUUGGGUUUAAAGGAUGCGUAGGCGGUUUGAUAAGUUAGAGGUGAAAUUUCGGGGCUCAACCCUGAACGUGCCUCUAAUACUGUUGAGCUAGAGAGUAGUUGCGGUAGGCGGAAUGUAUGGUGUAGCGGUGAAAUGCUUAGAGAUCAUACAGAACACCGAUUGCGAAGGCAGCUUACCAAACU
rnacentral:rRNA from 1 species